CCAAAUUUGAUUGGAUGGAUUAAAAAAAAAAAGAAGACACAAAGGCAUGGUCCAUCCAACCCCAUUUUGCAGGAUCCCACUGACCUGGUUGCAGAAGACCAUCAUGCUCUGGUGUUGAUCUUUCUCUUCUUUGGACUGCCAGGAUCAUGGGAUGUCUGCUGAGGAAAUGAAAGUUCAUGUGGCAGAUCCUUUGAAUGAUUCUCCAUGUGCCAUGCUGGACCCUUUGGGGAGCAGGCUUUCCCAGUCAUAGAUAUUCUGGUAAGCAGUUGAGAUCCUCAGUUCUGGACACAUAGGUAUGGCUUCAGUGUUUCCUCAAUCAGUUUGGGGAAAUAUUUAUUAGCCUUGUUCAGUGGGUUCAAUUAACUUGAGAGCAGUUAAGAUAAGAAUCAUCCUCAUGAGUUAUGAGCUAUGAACUGCCAAACAAACACUCAAUCUAGUGUUUCUGCAAGUGCCUCUCUCAGAACCUCACCUCACCCUCUGUGAGUUUGACAGAAGGCUAAAGCAUUGUAGAAAAAAGUCUAAAUUUAUUUCCCUACAGCACUUGACAGCACUAACAGAUGCCACAGUGUGUGUGUGUGUGUGUGUGUGUGUGUGUGUGCGUGCGCGCGCGCGCGUGCGUGUGUUUGUGGAUACAUGUCUCCAUGUGUGUGCACAUGUGUGGCCAGAGAUUGAUUUUUUUAUUCUAUCACUGUCCAUCUUAGCUUUCUUAAGGAAAGAACCUUCCACUGGACAUAAGGAUCAUUUGAUUGGCCAGACUAGCAAGCCCAGGGCUAUCUGUCUAUCAUCCUAGCACUAGGAUUACAGAAUUUCUCUGCUUUGCCCAGCGGUUUUUUUUAAAAACAUGGUUUCUUCAUGUUUGCAUAAACAAGUAUUUUAGCAAAUGAACCAUCUGUGUAAUCCCAAGAUUUUUGAUACAAUUCUCUUCCCAUUCUUUAUACACUCUGUCUUGAUUUUAUUAAAAUAAUUAAUUAGCUACACAAUCCUAUUUUAUUUAAUUUUGGUAGACCUACUGAAUAAUGAGUAAGUAUGACUUGCCUUUCUCUUUAAAGAGGUUUAUUUUUGUUUUAUAUGUGAGUGUUUACCUUCAUGUAUGCAUGUGCACCAUUGGUACACAUCAGGUCCCUUAGAAUUAGGGUUACAGAUAGUUGUAAGUAACAUUGGUGAUGUGAACUGAAUUCAGGUCCUUUGCAAGAGUAAAUACCCAUAACUUCUGAGGCAUCUCUCCAGUCCUUAUGCUCCUGCCUUUUAAAGAGAAGCCUGCAUGAAACUUCCAUUUAGAACUUGGAGUUACCAUCUUUACACUUAUCUCUUUGACCAUCUACCAGUUUGACAAGUAUGGAGCUCUGUAACCACAUAGGCCAAUAUGCAUAUCUAAGGUGUGAGGUAGAUUGUCCUCUCACAGUUUCUCAUACAUCCUCCAUUACUUCCCAGAAGCAGUCUUCUCAGGCCUUUCCUAAUGUCCUAGCCCUCCUAUUACCCUAAGUCCCUUGUGACACAUUUCUAUUCUUCUUAAUAUACAAUAGAUGCAUUUAAAUCUUCUCUUUAAUUUUUAAGAGCUCACAGACUUAUUUACUUACAAUAAAAUUUCUCAUGAAUAUUU
rnacentral:lncRNA from 1 species